GCUGGGUAUAAUGGUGUGCACCUGUAAUCCUAGCUACACAGGAGGCUGAAGCAUGAGAAUCUCUUGAACCCAGGCAGCAGGGACGUGAGAAUCUCUUCAACCCAGGAGGCAGAGCUUGCAGUGANNNNNNNNNNUUUUUUUUUUUGAUACAGAAUCUCUGUCAUCCAGGCUGGAGUGCAGUGGCGUGAUCUUGACUCACUGCAAGCUCUGCCUCCUGGGUUGAAGAGAUUCUCACGUCCCUGCUGCCUGGGUUCAAGAGAUUCUCAUGCUUCAG
rnacentral:SRP_RNA from 1 species